ACGCUGGCGGCGCGCCUAAUACAUGCAAGUCGAGCGAGAACCAGGGCUUGCCCUGGGGAGAGCGGCGAACGGGUGCGUAUCACGUGAGCAACCUGCCUCGGAGACCGGAAUAACUCGAGGAAACUCGGGCUAAUGCCGGAUGCCCUCGAUGGACCGCAUGGUCCGGCGAGGAAAUGGAUUCCGCUCCGAGAUGGGCUCGCGGCCUAUCAGCUUGUUGGUGGGGUAACGGCCUACCAAGGCGACGACGGGUAGCUGGUCUGAGAGGACGAUCAGCCACACUGGGACUGAGACACGGCCCAGACUCCUACGGGAGGCAGCAGUAGGGAAUCUUGCGCAAUGGGGGAAACCCUGACGCAGCGACGCCGCGUGCGGGAUGAAGGCCUUCGGGUCGUAAACCGCUUUCAGCAGGGACGAAAUUGACGGUACCUGCAGAAGAAGGCCCGGCCAACUACGUGCCAGCAGCCGCGGUGAUACGUAGGUGGCAAGCGUUGUCCGGAUUUACUGGGCGUAAAGGAUGCGUAGGCGGACAUUUAAGUCAGAUGUGAAAUACCCGAGCUUAACUUGGGUGCUGCAUUUGAAACCGGGUGUCUAGAGUGCAGGAGAGGUAAGUGGAAUUCCUAGUGUAGCGGUGAAAUGCGUAGAGAUUAGGAAGAACACCAGUGGCGAAGGCGACUUACUGGACUGUAACUGACGCUGAGGCAUGAAAGCGUGGGGAGC
rnacentral:rRNA from 1 species